rnacentral:rRNA from 1 species
UACAGAGGGUGCGAGCGUUAAUCGGAAUUACUGGGCGUAAAGGGCUCGUAGGCGGCCAACUAAGUCGGAUGUGAAAUCCCCAGGCUUAACCUGGGAACUGCAUCCGAUACUGGAUGGCUUGAAUUCGGGAGAGGGAUGCAGAAUUCCAGGUGUAGCGGUGAAAUGCGUAGAUAUCUGGAGGAAUACCGGUGGCGAAGGCGGCAUCCUGGACCGACAUUGACGCUGAGGAGCGAAAGCUAGGGGAGCAAACGGGG